AUGGACCCGACACCUACCGCGCAACGUCGUCUCAAAGCCAUCAAUGCUCACCUCGUCACCGCCGCCGAUGACUCUCCUUCCGAUAUCCAAUCGAAUCCCACCGCCGGCGAGUUCUUCUCCGAGCAAGGGUAUAGUGUUGUACUCCCGGAGAAAUUGCGGACAGGAAAGUGGAACGUGUACAGAUCCGCACGUUCUCCUCUGAAGCUGAUUGAUAGGUUCUCUGAUAAUCCUCAUAUCGGUACACUACAUGAUAAUUUUGU